ACCAGAAGACCAUACUCAUCAUCCUACGUGCAUCAACCAGGAAAAAGUUUCAGCUAAACAUGACUCGAGCCAUCACAUUGCUGUCUAUAUGCCUGGGUGUUCUCCUCCCACUCAUUGCUGCACGAUCACCCAAACCCUUAUGUUUAGAUGGCGGAGAAUAUAAGUCCUGUGCACCAACCUGUGAUAACUUGAAGCCUGACUGCCCUAAAGAGA